CUGUGCCAGCAGCCGCGGUAAUACAGAGGGUGCAAGCGUUAAUCGGAAUUACUGGGCGUAAAGCGAGCGUAGGUGGCUUGAUAAGUCAGAUGUGAAAUCCCCGGGCUUACCCUGGGAACUGCAUCUGAAACUGUUAGGCUAGAGUAGGUGAGAGGGAAGUAGAAUUUCAGGUGUAGCGGUGAAAUGCGUAGAGAUCUGAAGGAAUACCGAUGGCGAAGGCAGCUUCCUGGCAUCAUACUGACACUGAGGCUCGAAAGCGUGGGUAGCAAACAGGAUUAGAUACCCUGGUAGUCCACGCCGUAAACGAUGUCUACUAGUCGUUGGGUCCCUUGAGGACUUAGUGACGCAGCUAACGCAAUAAGUAGACCGCCUGGGGAGUACGGCCGCAAGGUUAAAACUCAAAUGAAUUGACGGGGGCCCGCACAAGCGGUGGAGCAUGUGGUUUAAUUCGAUGCAACGCGAAGAACCUUACCUGGUCUUGACAUAUCUAGAAUCCUGCAGAGAUGCGGGAGUGCCUUCGGGAAUUAGAAUACAGGUGCUGCAUGGCUGUCGUCAGCUCGUGUCGUGAGAUGUUGGGUUAAGUCCCGCAACGAGCGCAACCCUUGUCCUUAGUUACCAGCGGGUUAAGCCGGGAACUCUAAGGAUACUGCCAGUGACAAACUGGAGGAAGGCGGGGACGACGUCAAGUCAUCAUGGCCCUUACGACCAGGGCUACACACGUGCUACAAUGGUAGGUACAGAGGGCAGCUACACAGCGAUGUGAUGCGAAUCUCAAAAAGCCUAUCGUAGUCCAGAUUGGAGUCUGCAACUCGACUCCAUGAAGUAGGAAUCGCUAGUAAUCGCGGAUCAGAAUGCCGCGGUGAAUACGUUCCCGGGCCUUGUACACACCGCCCGUCACACCAUGGGAGUUGAUUGCACCAGAAGUGGAUAGCUUAACCUUCGGGGAGGCGUUCACCACGGUG
rnacentral:rRNA from 1 species